rnacentral:rRNA from 2 species
UGAUUGAUUUUGGUCGCCAACGAGUGGCGGACGGGUGAGUAACACGUAGGUAACCUGCCCAGAAGCGGGGGACAACAUUUGGAAACAGAUGCUAAUACCGCAUAACAGCGUUGUUCGCAUGAACAACGCUUAAAAGAUGGCUUCUCGCUAUCACUUCUGGAUGGACCUGCGGUGCAUUAGCUUGUUGGUGGGGUAACGGCCUACCAAGGCGAUGAUGCAUAGCCGAGUUGAGAGACUGAUCGGCCACAAUGGGACUGAGACACGGCCCAUACUCCUACGGGAGGCAGCAGUAGGGAAUCUUCCACAAUGGGCGCAAGCCUGAUGGAGCAACACCGCGUGAGUGAAGAAGGGUUUCGGCUCGUAAAGCUCUGUUGUUAAAGAAGAACACGUAUGAGAGUAACUGUUCAUACGUUGACGGUAUUUAACCAGAAAGUCACGGCUAACUACGUGCCAGCAGCCGCGGUAAUACGUAGGUGGCAAGCGUUAUCCGGAUUUAUUGGGCGUAAAGAGAGUGCAGGCGGUUUUCUAAGUCUGAUGUGAAAGCCUUCGGCUUAACCGGAGAAGUGCAUCGGAAACUGGAUAACUUGAGUGCAGAAGAGGGUAGUGGAACUCCAUGUGUAGCGGUGGAAUGCGUAGAUAUAUGGAAGAACACCAGUGGCGAAGGCGGCUACCUGGUCUGCAACUGACGCUGAGACUCGAAAGCAUGGGUAGCGAACAGGAUUAGAUACCCUGGUAGUCCAUGCCGUAAACGAUGAGUGCUAGGUGUUGGAGGGUUUCCGCCCUUCAGUGCCGGAGCUAACGCAUUAAGCACUCCGCCUGGGGAGUACGACCGCAAGGUUGAAACUCAAAGGAAUUGACGGGGGCCCGCACAAGCGGUGGAGCAUGUGGUUUAAUUCGAAGCUACGCGAAGAACCUUACCAGGUCUUGACAUCUUGCGCCAACCCUAGAGAUAGGGCGUUUCCUUCGGGAACGCAAUGACAGGUGGUGCAUGGUCGUCGUCAGCUCGUGUCGUGAGAUGUUGGGUUAAGUCCCGCAACGAGCGCAACCCUUGUUACUAGUUGCCAGCAUUAAGUUGGGCACUCUAGUGAGACUGCCGGUGACAAACCGGAGGAAGGUGGGGACGACGUCAGAUCAUCAUGCCCCUUAUGACCUGGGCUACACACGUGCUACAAUGGACGGUACAACGAGUCGCGAACUCGCGAGGGCAAGCAAAUCUCUUAAAACCGUUCUCAGUUCGGACUGCAGGCUGCAACUCGCCUGCACGAAGUCGGAAUCGCUAGUAAUCGCGGAUCAGCAUGCCGCGGUGAAUACGUUCCCGGGCCUUGUACACACCGCCCGUCACACCAUGAGAGUUU